rnacentral:lncRNA from 1 species
AUUCUCUUAAAAGAUGAUUUUGUGGCUGAAGGGAAUGAUUCCCUUAUCCUUUACAGCAUAUGCCAUUCUUUAUAGCUAUAAAUAGAACAUUUCUUUACUGAUUUUGAACACAGAUUUUUGAACCCUAAAAAUACUCCAAAAAGAUUUGCACUAUUUUAUUGAGAGCAGGUUUAUUUCUUGAGCAAAAUCUUAGGACUUUUCUCUGGGAUUUUUGAUUUUUUUAUUCGAGCAUGAAUUAAACUGAGACUGUGUAUUGCUAUUUGAGAUUGUGUUUACUUAUUUCUUAUUGAAAUCCUCACUUCACUCUUGUUUGUUUCUUGAUAUCCAGGUAAUCCUAUGGACCCUUGAGUGGCAAAUAAAGUUUAAAGCAUUUAUGUAGUCUUUGUUAUAAGAAGUGGGCUAUCCAAAUGUUGAAUUCCAGAUCUCCUUGUGUAUGUUCUUUGCAAGUUACUAAGUUUAUUACUCCUAUUUUAGUUUGUUUAGGUCUUCUAAAUCUAGUGUCCUAUUCUAUAGCUUAGUUAUUUGUAUGAACAGUUGGAUCAGUUUAUUUGCUCGAUGCAAAGGUUUUGUAGUUUUAAAAUGCUUAAUAGCUCUAGCAGUUCAUUUGGUCCUUGUAAAGGGAGUCUGGAUAUGUGUUGUAAAGGACUGAUAUAUUAUCUCAAAUUCCAGCAUUUGUAUAUUCAGUUUUAAGAUGAUUCGUGAAUAAAUUUAAGGUUUAUCUUUUAUUGUUAGUACUCAUGGCAUGGUGAUGAAUUGAAAC